UACGGAGGGUGCGAGCGUUGUCCGGAAUCACUGGGCGUAAAGGGCGCGUAGGUGGCGGGCCAAGUCAACGGUGAAAGCUCGACGCUCAACGUCGAGUCGGGCCGUCGAUACUGGUUUGCUGGAGCACUGUAGAGGCCAAUGGAAUUCCGGGUGUAGCGGUGGAAUGCGUAGAGAUCCGGAAGAACACCGGUGGCGAAGGCGGUUGGCUGGGGCAGUUGCUGACACUGAGGCGCGACAGCGUGGGGGAGUAAACAGG
rnacentral:rRNA from 1 species